ACCCUCCGACGGGAAGCGGCAGCGCGGCGCUCCGGGCGCGGGCCUGGCGGGGCAGGGAUACGGCUGAUUGGCAGAGGUCGGAGAAACGCGUUUCUUUGCUGCGGCAUCGGUGCUUAAAAGGCAACUUAGCGCGGAGGAAGCGUGACAUAGCUGCAGAAAUACAUAACCUAAGAGGACAGGCAUAAAGCAUCCACUCCAUUCAGCUCUGCAGAGGUCAGGUGUGUCCCGCCCACUUCUGUCAAACUUGCUUGUUAGACUGACAGCGAGGAAGACUGCACAACUUCUUAAUGCAUUCUAGUAUUUUCAUCAGGAAAACCGUUCUAAAAUAGAAAUAACGGCUAAUGUAGCAUCUUUACGUAAGACCAAUCCCUAAAUCGCAGUUUGUUCAGCGAAACAACGAUAACUACCUUUCCCGUUCCAGGGAAUUCUUGCCCUCUUCGCAGUGCUGAGUGGCUGCCGCGGAGUUCAGGGCUCGGCACUAACAGAACAGCAGCAGCAGGUCCGUGUGGGAGGUAACAGCAGCCCACGGCUUGUGUUUAAGGGAGGGGGUCUUUCUAUAGCUGGAGGGCGAGCUCUAGGAACGUGAUGAAGCGUCCCAGCAUGUGAUCCAGUAGCCUGCUUCCUUUUCCUGGUGGGAGCUGGGGGCCAAGACUAUCGUAGAUCAAAAAGAAACACAAUGGCCAGGGUGGGGUUGUUUAAUUCUGCGCUAAACCCCGCAGUGAGUUCCCUUGAUAUGGUUCCUUUGCUGUGAAAGACUUCUGAGGCUAUGUUUGUAUCAGUCCUAUGCCUGUCUCUUGCAAACAAAAUAAUCAUACUCCCUUCAGUAUUGUAAAACCUUUGAAGUUUAUAUGAGUACAGUGGUGUGCAAUGCUGGCAUAUCCUGGAGCUCUGGCCUUCUGCAAGUACAGAAAUUGACCUUUAUCCCCCUCUGUGAAGGUCAUCAAGGAAUCUGAAUUUUUUAAACCACCACUACAUCCUUAUUUGUCCUUUCAGAGAAAGAGGCAGUCUGACCUGUGCCCUCUGUUUCCUCUGAAAUAUCUUUAUGGAUGAUCUGACACCAAGGUGGGAGAGAGUGUCGAUCUGUCUGAGGGUAGGAAGGCCCUGCAGAGGGAUCUGGAUAGGCUGGAUUGACGGGCUGAGGCCAAUUGUUCAGCAAAACCAAGGGCUGUGUCUUGCACUUGGAUCGCAACAUCGCAACAACCCCAUACGUCGUUAUAGGUUUGGUGCAGAGCGACUGGAAAGCUGCCCAUCAGAAAAGGACCUGGAGGAGUUCAAGAAAUGUGCAGAUGUGACGUUGAGAGACAUGGAGCUGCGUAGGGUCCGGCACUCUGGUGGGAUGUGAGUUUGAUGGCACUGUGGCUGCCCGUGGCUGCAGUCUCCAUGGAGAGCAGCAGGGAGGAGCAAUGCAUCACACUGAACGUUCCCAGCUCUGGAGUCAACACUGAGAUGUUAAUUCUGGGCUCAGCACCCUGCACAGGGCGCUGUACAGAGGGAUGAUCAGCGGACAAUACCCUAAGCAGCUCUCCAUAUCUCUGCUCCUCCAUUCUAAAUAAGAGAAGAACGUUACAAUUGCGUCUCAGCGCUGCAUAAGUCUAUGAGAGGCUCAGAUGAAAACGCCUCCCUCUGCUGGCUUGCUCGAAUGCUUGAAGAUGGUGAAGAUCCACUCUACGUGGCAAGGAGGCUGGUGAGGUUUGCAAGCGAAGAUAUAGAUGUUCUGUAUAUACAUAAUUUCACAAGAUCCACUGUCAGCUGAAGAGCCGGAUCUGAUAAUCACGGUUAGCUAUAUAGAAUGGAAGAAUUUCCAUGUCAGUUGAGAUUGUUUUCUUGAUACCAGAUACUCAUCUGUCUUCUGGCAAGAGGAUUGAUGUCUGGAUUACGUUUUGGAGAAAGAUGAGGGAAUGAGGCCCAGUAAUGGACUAGAAAACAGUUUUUGUAACUCCUUGUACUUACCAAGCAACUAUUGAGUGCUGCUCAAGAUACCUUUGGAUUGGGAAGCUACAACAGAUACAAAAAGCAUAUAAUGUUAUUUGAUAGAGCAAAUUCUCAGCUACAAAACACUACUUUUCAACAUAGCCACCACCAUUAGCUGUGCAUUUUCACUAGUGAUGAACGACAGCCUGCAUGCCUCACUCAUAAAAAUCUGCACCAGUGAAGGUGACAUUCUCACUGUUGCCACUGCUGAAACGUACCACUCACCACCUCACUGUGCUCACAGCCCCUGUUUGGUCUCCAUUAAUGUCCAGCAAGCGUUGAUGAAUGUCAAUGAAUGGAAUGUUUUCUGCAUGGAUGAAUUCAGUUCCAGACCUUUGUUUCAAACACAUUUCCAUGUCAGAUGUCACUUGGUCAGACCACUCCUCUGCUUCCAUCUGUCACACAGCAACAACAUGUAACAGAAUACUGGAGGGAAGGUUCAACCUCUACUGCCAUACCACCAUCUGCCUCCGACAUCACGGGCCAACAUAAUAAAUUAGGAAGCAUUACUUUUGGAGCAGCCCUCAUAACUGCAAUGCUGAAGGCCUGAAUAAGCCAGAUGCUUCCAAAAACAAGUAAUUCCUCCACAGAAUGGAGGACAGCUGGAAGUAAGAGCUUUAUGCAAAUAUAACGGAAAAGUUCGCUUCCAAUCUAAGCCAUGCUAUGGUUCUAUGAUUCUAUGAAAAGAAAGACCAUUACCUAAAGUGCACUGUAAAAAUCUUGAACUUAAUAAAACAGUCUCAGAAACAUACCUUGAGCAAACCGGAAUCGUAACAGUUUGGAUAAUCAUGAGCAAAUCCUUGGACCAAGACUCUGUCCAUCCAGCCCUUCAUGAUUGCUGGCAUGCUGAACCAGUACAAGGGAAACUAGGCAAAAAAUGAAUGACCUUGUUAGUGCAGAGAGCCCAGGGCAUCCUUAGGCCUGGUCUGUAGGCAAUCUCUUGUUUUCCUGAUCUGUUCAGAUCUUGUACAGGUCUUCUUCCAGGAGGGAGAGGCAGUAACUACGCUUGGCAAAAAUAACUGAAGUGCUUACUGUAUGUAGUGAUCUCAGGUACGUAGCUAAGCAGCUGUAGUGCAUUAAUACCAUGGUGAAUGUCAGAGCUUCCACACGAAUGGAAGUUGGAAAAUGCUAGAGCUGGAAAACGUCAUUAAGUUCAAACUCAAGACCAUACAAAAUGCAAAAGGAAUGUAUAAGCUAAUGGUUAUUGUUGCCAAAGUGGCCACAGGAGAGACCUAUUACCAGGACAUCUGGUGAUCGGUUCUGAUCUGACAUUUGUUAAUGCCAUGAUGUACUAAGAGACUGUCUCACAGCCCACUAACAUGAUGACCUGGAACCACCAUAUUGAGAAGAAAACUUCCUCUCUAACAGUAGGUCUCCUUUUAUUUUUCUUCUUUUUUUUUUUUCCCUUUUCCUUAUUAUUAUAUUAUAUUAUAUUAUAUUAUAUUAUAUUAUAUUAUAUUAUAUUAUAUUAUACUUUUUCUGCACCAGAAUGUGCCUGACUCCUUCUGGUAUUUUACAGACAGAAAGUAGAAAGCAACCUCUUCCUUCGGGGGAUGUUUUAUGAUACUUAUCUGAGAAACAAUAUUUUGAAAACGAUGAAAACAUGCUUUGAAAUACUUGCCCAAGAUACAGUCAUAUCCUAAAUUUCACCAGGAGCUAGACAGUUCAAUAUAUGUAAGCUGUGCCUGAGGCCAACAGUUGGAUUAUGAGUUUGGUCAGAAUAUUUUCUUUUUCAUCAUGCGGGGACUCCUGGACAUCAGCACUUUGGAGGUCAGUACAUUGUGUACUUUAUCCUUGCUAUCGACUGUAUUUGUGCAAGUAUGUGACCUUUUGGUCUCUACACUGCUGACACCACUGUUUCAUUUAGGAGCUACUCUGCACCCAGGCAUCUGUCUCCCAUAGGGAACACUGUUUCCACACUGUGGGGCUAGUGGUACUUCCUGUGAUAUUUCUGGGCCUUGUGCACGCCAAAGACAGGACUACUGCAGAAGAGAGUAGACAUGAGUUGUAAAAAUCAGUUAGCAAGUCCAGACAGUGCUUGUCCAACUCAGCAAUAAAAGAGGGCAGUACGACUGGGGAAGUCAGAACUCCCCCAGCCUGCUGGCUGCCCCAAAUUCCUUGCCCAUUAAAGAAGCCAUGCCUGGCUUUCUGCUGCCUGACAACCAUGGUCAGGUACAUCAUUGUGAAUACAGACAUUACAUUUGGCCUUGUUGCAGCAAGUUUCUGGAUUUGCUGUUAUAACUACUCUGAUAAUUGUACUCCUGAUCUGUGCUUGUUCCUGUGCCAUUAUUUAGAAAUGAAGCCUUUGUCCAUACAGCUUAUAGUUUGGUGUCUGUUACAGUUUCCCAAACUUGAAUCUGCUUUCUUGCAUUUAAACCCUUACAUUCCUGUGCAUAAAUCUGCAUUUGCUUUGCUUGUGCUCCAAGGCAUGCGUAUAGUUAUCAGGCUGCAUGAUAAUAUGGCACGGUUCUCUUAUUGAGAAUUACAGCAUUAGUUUGCACUCAAUACUUGAUAGUCUGAAUGGACCCAUGCAAUUUGUUUUAGAGUGCAGGUGGCAUAAGAAGCAGUCUUCACAAAAGUAGUCUAAUUGCACUUUGAAUGCUAGUUUCUAAGUGAAAUGCAGGUGUGAAUUUUACUUGGAUGUUUUAAAGAUCUGAUUUGUGAUGCCUUCCUAUUUGCUACAAAUGUCAGUGUGGAGCCUUAAUUUGGUGAAAAAUUCAUACUGUACUAGCACAGACAAUACACUUGAUCUGGUAUUUCUGAUGCUUUCAAAAAUACACACCAUAUCAGACAAACCUGACACUGAAUUGCUAUGCUGGGUACAAACCAUUUUAUGUUGAUUGCUGAACUGCUGCCUGUUUUCACUCUGGCUAGUCAGUGCUCCUAAUGAAAUCUGUAAUCUUCUCACUUACUACUCCUUUUAGGUUGUUCAGCCCUGUACAUUACAACUGAAGUAUUUUAAUACAAUUUAAAAUAAUUACCUGAAAAAUCAGUAAGUCUGCUUCCUGCACCUUCUUUUGCUCUUCAGUCAAAUCAUUGGACAAACAUCCUCUCUUGUAAGCUUCCAUCAUCUCCACUGCAUAAUGGAACUCCUCUGAGUUGUGCAAGCAACCUGUGGAGAGAAGGGCACAGUCACGGCUUACUCCAUCCACAGCACUGUAGCCAAAUAAGAAUUAAAUACAUGUUGUGAUCUACAGUUCUAAAUUGAGUUACUGCUUGCCUUUCUUUUCCCCACAUACAUUUUUACAUGACUGUUCAGUAUCAUCACAGCCGAUAGAUGAUGGCUUGAUUGUAAACUGGGGAGGAAUGUAUGACCUCAGAGUACUGAAACUUUCACCUUUCUGUGGUAGCACGUGAUGUGCAAAAAGAAGACCCAAUCUGGUGAUGCGGGUGGAUGGCUUAAGAAGAUAUAAGAGAAUUUUGCUAAUUGUUCUGCCUCUGCAUUGGAGAUUACUGAAACCGUAGUCACAAGCACUAUGUAGCUGCUUUUCAGUGUCUGUGGAAACUCAGCAGAGGCUGGGGAACCAGUAUCCACUGCUCUGCUGGCUCCACCGUGGCUGGGUGAGCUGAUUCAGGUAUGUCCAAAUCAAACUACACAUCCAUUCCUGCUGAUUGAAUUAGCAGUCCAUCAGUCUUUAGCAAAAGGACUGGUAAAAAGUGUGGGAAGGUGGAAGUAGUAACCUCAUAAACUGAACUACAGUCAGUUGUACAUUCAGUUGUACAGAAUUGCAAGUCGUACAGCGAUAUCUGAAGACAUUUCUCACCCAAGAGAAACGGACUUCAGAUGGGAGGUUGAUUCUGAACAAGUGCUAAUGCAUUUUUGUCUCUCACUAAUCUCACUGUGAGCCAAGGGCCAUGCCUAGGAGUGGACUUUUAGGAAUGCUUAAGUCUUGUAGUCUCACUGUUAAUAAGUGUCUUCUUUCUUUGCCAGUGCUCGCCUUAGACCUGUGAUAUUCCUUUUCGAUUCUUGUUCUAAAGAAAGAUUGUCAGUUCUCAUAGAUGGUCUCAAAGCUUUGUUUUUCUUGACCAGAAGAAGUAUUUAUGCUAUUAAAUAGUUGUGAGAUGCCAAAAUGACUCACAAGCCCAUGCGCUUAAAUGCCUGGAGCUAACUCACAGAAAGCAUUUAUAAUAUUGUUCAUUAAGUGGAGGUGGUUCUUAAAACGUCUCUUCAG